UUAUGCAUUUUUUUAUGCUAAGCGACAUUUAUUUGAAGGCUUUACUAAAUUUUGAGAAAUGCUUGUCAGGACAAAAGACUGAAAAAGACUGAAAAACUGCCUUUAAACACAGCCAUCAUUCAUGUAAAUGGAUUCAUAAGGAGCAUCCAAACAAUAUGAUAUUAGGAUCAUCAGAGACUGGCAAUUUUUUACCACUCACUGUGAUAGAUGCAUCUAAAUAAACAUUGAAAUGUUAAA